CGGUGCCCGCGGACUCAUUCCGCACCAUCAGCCCGGACAGGCGAGGCGAGAAGGCUGCCUCCGCUGUCUCCGGGGACACGGCGGCCGCGACCACCCUGAAGGGCACCGCGAUCCCAGUGCGGUCGGUGGUGGCCUCCCCUCGCCCGGUGAAGGGGAAAGCGGGCCGGGAGACGGCCAGGCUGCGGCUCCAGCGCCUGCCCGCGGCUCAGGCCGAGGACCCGGGAGAGGCGGCGGCGGCGGAGGAGGAGGAGCCCCUGCUGCCAGUGCCUGAGGAUGAAGAGGAGGCGCAGCCCCUGCCCCCAGUCUGCGUGUCCCGUAUGAGGGGGAUGUGGCGGGACGAGAAGGUGUCGCUAUAUUGCGACGAAGUGCUGCAGGACUGUAAGACGGGGUUUCUCCAGUUGGUCAGGCUGGACUCGAACUCCCGACCUCAGGCAGAAGAUGCUGAUGAAGUUAUGGGUAAAUACCUAUCAGAAAAAUUAAAGUUGAAAGACAAAUGGCUUGGAGUCUGGAAGACUAAUCCCAGUGUAUUCUUUGUGAAAUAUGAAGAAGCUUCUAUCCCUUUUGUUGGUAUAUUGGUUGAGAGUUUCGUCCUGUCGCCCAGGCUGGAGUGCAGUGGUGUGAUCUCGGCUACUGCAACCUCUGCCUCCCCGGUUCAAGCGAUUCUCCUGCCCCAGCCUCCCGAGUAGCUGGGAUUACAGGCGCAUGCCACCAUGCCCAGCUAAUUUUUUGUAUCUUUGGUA
rnacentral:sRNA from 1 species